UGUAAUGGAUUCCCAUGAGGUUCGUCCUCUGUGAACUGUGAAACAUUUAGUGUGUAAGACGUUGAGCCAGCCCCAGGAAACCCUAGGCCGAUGAGGAACAUGGAAGCCAGCAAAAGAAGAGGCAAGUGCGGUGGCCACAUCCCACCCAGCAUCAACCCAUCACACUUCCAUUUGGCUCUAGUAGAGGUGUGGGACCUCAUUCACCCCACAACAGAUUGUAUCCUCUCCCCUAUCUGACCUUAUUGCUGCUCACACUCUCUGUCCCUGAAUGAAAUCCGAAGAUGAUGGAGGAGUGCCCC
rnacentral:lncRNA from 1 species